rnacentral:rRNA from 1 species
AUUGAACGCUGGCGGCAGGCCUAACACAUGCAAGUCGAGCGAGCGGCGGACGGGUGAGUCAUGGAUGGGGACUGCCCGCUGGGGGGGGCUUAACACUCGGAACGGAAACUUAUAACGCAUACUAUCGGAUAACCCAUAUGGGAUUAGCUAGUGGGUGAGGUAAUGGCUCACCUAGGCGACGAUCCCUAGCUGGUCUGAGAGGAUGAUCAGCCACACUGGGACUGAGACACGGCCCAGACUCCUACGGAGGCAGCAGUGGGGAAUAUUGCACAAUGGGCGCAAGCCUGAUGCAGCCAUGCCGCGUGUAUGAAGAAGGCCCUAGGGUUGUAAAGUACUUUCAGUCGGGAGGCGUUACCGACAGAAGAAGCACCGGCUAACUCCGUGCCAGCAGCCGCGGUAAUAC